GACAGAGGGGGCAAGCGUUGCUCGGAAUUACUGGGCGUAAAGGGCGCGUAGGCGGGAUGGCAAGUCGGUCGUGAAAUCCCUCGGCUCAACCGAGGAACGUCGAUCGAUACUGCUGUUCUUGAGGAUUGCAGAGGAGACUGGAAUUCCCGGUGUAGCGGUGAAAUGUGUAGAGAUCGGGAGGAACACCGGUGGCGAAGGCGGGUCUCUGGGACGUUACUGACGCUGAGACGCGAAAGCGUGGGGAGCAAACAGG
rnacentral:rRNA from 1 species